UUAAAAAAAGCAUUGCCAAGAGAGGGAAAAAAACAUGGUGCUGCCUUAUGUCGGAAAGUAUCUCUUCUAUUUUUCUCUUCAUUCAUGCGCGUGGGCCCACGCACACCCGCUUCCCUUGCUCUUCAUCUUCUUUCUCCUCCUUUGCUUAAAUAUCAACCUCCCGUCACUAUUUUCAGUUGACGCCGAUUUUUCUAAACUUAUCUUUUUUCUGUUCUCCCCCAAUCUCUCUUACUCGCGCGUUCUUUUCAGUUUCCUUUUUUUUCUUUCUCUUUUUCUGUUUGGACGACGGGAAAAAAUAACUAGCCAAAAACCCUAGCUCUCUCUCCUUCAUUCCCUUUUUUGUUUUAUUUUCUCUCUACGUUUUCUUUUAGAUUUCAUUUGGACGUGCUUUGAAUCCUGUUAUUUUCUUUGUAUGUUCUAUUCUUUUUUUGGAUGAAGGUUUAGAUGAUGGAAGAUAAAGAGGGGCUUGAUCCAGCUGGGACUGAGUUUAAAUCCGAUUCGAGCUCGAGCUGGACACUUGCUGGACCUGACUCAGUCUCGGAUAGCAUCAAUUACUUCUUCGAUAGGGAAAGCAGUAUACUGAGUGAGUUUGGUUGGAAUAUUCUACAACUGGACCAUGCCGAUGAGAUUGAAAGGUUCAGUGAACUAGACCGAACCGACGCCAGUCGUGGUUUGGCGGGAAAUUUUAGCGGCUCGCAAUCGCAAAGCUGUGGUGCAGCUGGUGGUUCGUGUUCAGGGGCAGCGUCGAAUCCGGUCGGGUCAGCUGAAGUGCCGACAUCGAAUCCGUCGGUGUCGUCGAGCUCCAGCGAGGAUCCGCCGGAGAAAUCUACGGGCUUCGGCGGGAAACCGCCUGAGAUACCGAGUAAGGUGAGGAAGAAGGGGCAAAAGCGAAUUAGGCAGCCACGUUUUGCUUUUAUGACCAAGAGUGAAGUUGAUCAUCUUGAAGAUGGCUACCGAUGGCGAAAAUAUGGACAAAAAGCUGUUAAAAAUAGUCCAUUUCCUAGGAGUUACUAUCGCUGCACAAAUAGCAAAUGUACAGUGAAGAAGAGGGUGGAACGCUCCUCUGAAGAUCCCACCAUCGUCAUUACUACAUAUGAAGGUCAACACUGUCAUCAUAGUGUCGGUUUCCCCCGUGGUGGACUCAUCAGCCAUGAAGCUGCCUUUGCCGGUCAGUUUACUCCUGGAGUCUCUCAAUUUUAUUAUUCACAAGGGGUACAGUUACAUAGGGGAAUUUCUCCAAGCACAACGCAGUCACAGCAACUGCCCAUUGAGGUAAGAGAAUCUCGUGCGCUGCCAGAACCCACCUCACAGCUGCCAAAAGAUGAAGGGUUACUUGGAGAUAUUGUGCCUCCUGGCAUGCGUAAGACGUGAGAAAGAAAAUAUGUUUGUAAAUACAGGCUAGUCAGUGAUUGGUAGAUGAAGUGAAGGUUACUGAUCUUUGCCCCAAGGACCAACCUGCCAAGUGCCAAGCCAAGGCAAUUAUUUUUUUUCAUCAAUGAAAACAACUGGUUGCUUUCUGCUUUCUUCGGACUUUUCCAUUUCCUCGGCGAUCCCUUUUCCCUCGCCCAAUUCCUCGUGUGGCAGUUAGGCAGUUAGGUAAAGUUUGUUAUACGUCAAUCGGUGCAGUUGGACUUUUAUGCGGUGGACCUCCCUCUUCAGUCUCCCCCACUUGCUGUGACUGUGAGGUUUCUCCUAAUUCUCUUUUGUUUUGUGGUUAAUUACACUCAUAUCCCCAAACUGUUCUCUAAAUUCCUAAAUUAGUCCUUAUAUUUCAAUUGAAUCCCCAUUAUCAAUAUUGUAUUA